rnacentral:rRNA from 1 species
GAUGAACGCUGGCGGCGUGCCUAAUACAUGCAAGUCGAGCGAACGGACGAGAAGCUUGCUUCUCUGAUGUUAGCGGCGGACAGGUGAGUAACACGUGGAUAACCUACCUAUAAGACUGGGAUAACUUCGGGAAACCGGAGCUAAUACCGGAUAAUAUUUUGAACCGCAUGGUUCAAAAGCGAAAGACGGUCUUGCUGUCACUUAUAGAUGGAUCCGCGCUGCAUUAGCUAGUUGGUAAGGUAACGGCUUACCAAGGCAACGAUGCAUAGCCGACCUGAGAGGGUGAUCGGCCACACUGGAACUGAGACACGGUCCAGACUCCUACGGGAGGCAGCAGUAGGGAAUCUUCCGCAAUGGGCGAAAGCCUGACGGAGCAACGCCGCGUGAGUGAUGAAGGUCUUCGGAUCGUAAAACUCUGUUAUUAGGGAAGAACAUAUGUGUAAGUAACUGUGCACAUCUUGACGGUACCUAAUCAGAAAGCCACGGCUAACUACGUG